GCCUUUUGGUUUGGAAUAACACGGGGAAACUUGUGCUAAUACCGGAUAAGCCUUUACAGGGAAAGUUUUAACGCCAAAAGAUGAGCCCAUACUUGAUUAGCUAGUUGGUAAGGUAAUGGCUUACCAAGGCUACGAUCAAUAGCUGAUCUGAGAGGAUGAUCGGCCACAUUGGGACUGAGACACGGCCCAAACUCCUACGGGAGGCAGCAGUGGGGAAUCUUGCACAAUGGGGGAAACCUUGAUGCAGCGAUGCCGCGUGAGUGAAGAAGGCCUUUGGGUUGUAAAGCUCUUUCGUCGGGGAAGAAAAUGACUGUACCCGAAUAAGAAGGUCCGGCUAACUUCGUGCCAGCAGCCGCGGUAAUACGAAGGGACCUAGCGUAGUUCGGAAUUACUGGGCUUAAAGAGCUCGUAGGUGGUUAAGAAAGUUGGUGGUGAAAUCCCAAGGCUUAACCUUGGAACUGCCACCAAAACUUUUUGACUAGAGUAUGAU
rnacentral:rRNA from 1 species